rnacentral:tRNA from 1 species
GCCGGGGUGGCGAAAUGGCAGACGCAACGGACUUAAAAUCCGUCGGGCAUCCCCCGUGUGGGUUCGAGUCCCACCCCCGGCA